AUUGAACGCUGGCGGCAGGCUUAACACAUGCAAGUCGAACGAUGAUUAUCUAGCUUGCUAGAUAUGAUUAGUGGCGGACGGGUGAGUAACAUUUAGGAAUCUGCCUAGUAGUGGGGGAUAGCUCGGGGAAACUCGAAUUAAUACCGCAUACGACCUACGGGUGAAAGGGGGCGCAAGCUCUUGCUAUUAGAUGAGCCUAAAUCAGAUUAGCUAGUUGGUGGGGUAAAGGCCCACCAAGGCGACGAUCUGUAACUGGUCUGAGAGGAUGAUCAGUCACACCGGAACUGAGACACGGUCCGGACUCCUACGGGAGGCAGCAGUGGGGAAUAUUGGACAAUGGGGGCAACCCUGAUCCAGCCAUGCCGCGUGUGUGAAGAAGGCCUUUUGGUUGUAAAGCACUUUAAGCAGGGAGGAGAGGCUAAUGGUUAAUACCCAUUAGAUUAGACGUUACCUGCAGAAUAAGCACCGGCUAACUCUGUGCCAGCAGCCGCGGUAAUACAGAGGGUGCGAGCGUUAAUCGGAAUUACUGGGCGUAAAGCGAGUGUAGGUGGCUCAUUAAGUCGCAUGUGAAAUCCCCGGGCUUAACCUGGGAACUGCAUGUGAUACUGGUGGUGCUAGAAUAUGUGAGAGGGAAGUAGAAUUCCAGGUGUAGCGGUGAAAUGCGUAGAGAUCUGGAGGAAUACCGAUGGCGAAGGCAGCUUCCUGGCAUAAUAUUGACACUGAGAUUCGAAAGCGUGGGUAGCAAACAGGAUUAGAUACCCUGGUAGUCCACGCCGUAAACGAUGUCUACUAGCCGUUGGGGUCCUUGAGACUUUAGUGGCGCAGUUAACGCGAUAAGUAGACCGCCUGGGGAGUGCGGCCGCAAGGUUAAAACUCAAAUGAAUUGACGGGGGCCCGCACAAGCGGUGGAGCAUGUGGUUUAAUUCGAUGCAACGCGAAGAACCUUACCUGGUCUUGACAUAGUGAGAAUCCUGCAGAGAUGCGGGAGUGCCUUCGGGAAUUCACAUACAGGUGCUGCAUGGCUGUCGUCAGCUCGUGUCGUGAGAUGUUGGGUUAAGUCCCGCAACGAGCGCAACCCUUUUCCUUAUUUGCCAGCGGGUUAAGCCGGGAACUUUAAGGAUACUGCCAGUGACAAACUGGAGGAAGGCGGGGACAACGUCAAGUCAUCAUGGCCCUUACGACCAGGGCUACACACGUGCUACAAUGGUAGGUACAGAGGGUUGCUACACAGCGAUGUGAUGCUAAUCUCAAAAAGCCUAUCGUAGUCCGGAUUGGAGUCUGCAACUCGACUCCAUGAAGUCGGAAUCGCUAGCAAUCGCAGAUCAGAAUGCUGCGGGAAUACGUUCCCGGGCC
rnacentral:rRNA from 1 species